AAAAAAAAAAGAAUAAAUAAAAGACUAGCCAAAAAAAAUAACUGGCCCUCAUUGGACUUCACACCAAAAAUUUUGAGUUGAAUUUGGGGUCACCAAAAAGGAAACUGAAGAGGCGUGUCUACAUUUCACCAGAUCCCUAGACUCCAAUGAUAUUUUUCAUCACCUUCAUGUGUUUUUUUCCUUUUCCUAGGUGCACUUUGGUGUAUAUGUGGGGACUUCAAUGCCCCACUAUCAACUACUGAUAGAACUGGAGGGCAAGCGGCAGCAGAUUGAAAGACCAAUGAUUUUCAACAUGCGAUAAAUAUUCUUACGUUGAUUGAUCCAAAGUCUAUAGGUAGGCUUCUUGCUUGGACAAAUGGACAUGUAUAGAUUAGGAUUGAUCGGGCUUUAUGUAAUGACAAUUGGGAGGUAAACUAUGGAGGCAUCAGUGCCCGUUUCCUUGAAAAUCAUUUGUUUGAUCGCUCUUAUAAAACA